AACGAACGCUGGCGGCGCGUCUUAACCAUGCAAGUCGAGCGGCAGGCAGCAAUGCCGAGAGCGGCGGACUGGUGAGUAACACGUGGAUAACGUACCCCGAUGCCCGGGACAGCCUGUAGAAAUAGAGGGUAAUACCGGAUAGGUCACUGUUUACGGAAGGUAGACAGCGGGAAAGGAGCUUCGGCUCCGCGACGGGAUCGGUCUGCGGCCCAUCAAGCUCGUUGGUGAGGUAAGAGCUCACCAAGGCGAGGACGGGUAUCCGGCUUGAGAGGGCGGACGGACACAUUGGGACUGAGAUACGGCCCAGACUCCUACGGGAGGCAGCAGGUAAGAAUAUUCCGCAAUGGGGGGAACCCUGACGGAGCGACGCCGCGUGAACGAAGAAGGCCGGAAGGUUGUAAAGUUCUUUUCUGUCCGAGGAAUAAGUGUAGGAGGAAAUGCCUGCAUGGUGACGGUAGGGCAGGAAUAAGCACCGGCUAAUUACGUGCCAGCAGCCGCGGUAACACGUAAGGUGCGAGCGUUGUUCGGAAUUAUUGGGCGUAAAGGGCAUGCAGGCGGGACGCCAAGCUUGGUAAGAAAUACCGGGGCUCAACUCCGGAGCUAUAUUGAGAACUGGCGAACUAGAGUUGCCGAAGGGUAUCCGGAAUUCCGCGUGAAGGGGUGAAAUCUGUAGAUAUGCGGAAGAACACCGAUGGCGAAGGCAGGAUACCGGGCGGGACGACUGACGCUGAGGUGCGAAGGUGCGGGGAGCAAACAGGAUUAAAUACCCUGGUAGUCCAGGGGCGACUUCUACAGUGGAUAUCAAGCUUAUCGAUACGUCGACCUCGGGGGGGGUGCUUUGUUUCAUUAUUUUCGUUCCAUUAACGAGGGGUAAUUAAG
rnacentral:rRNA from 1 species